rnacentral:lncRNA from 1 species
GAAGCCCACGAUACCAUUGGUCUCCUGCUGUCUUCAUCACCUGCGAGGGAUCUGGCUGCCACCCUGGCUGUGACUGUGUCUUUCGACGCUGCCUGUCCCCAGCGGCCUAGCCGUCUCUGGAGGAACAAAGGAAGCCAGAGAAGUGCUUCUUCCAACUGCAACCCAACCUCCCCUGACCAAUGAAAAAGCUUUUCACAAGAUACACAUCUUAAAGGAGUGAUGGCCUGAGGACAGAGCUCCAGAUUCUUUGGUUGGGUCCCUUUCUCGUGUACAACAUGGGAGGAGUCCUGGCAAGUAGAUGUGAAACAACCCUUUGGCUAAAUCGAGCAGUAACCAAGAAAGGACUUUUCUACAUAAACAGGAACGAGGCUGGGGAUGGAGAUCUCCUGUUCCCAGACCUGAGCAUUGUUAGCGAGAGGCUGAAGCUAUUCCACAGCUAACAUUCUGACGCUCUGUUGGGCGGUUUGCAGAGGACUCCCUGGAUUCCGAUGGUGCAGAUGAAUUGGGUUAUCCUCUCUGCUGCCCAAAGUCCCCUGUGGGCUAACAGCAUUACUUGUGAGCUUGUUAGAAAUAAAGGGCAGGUAUGGCAGCCAC